AAAAAAAAACUGGAGGAAAAAAGAAAAAGAGAAGAAAAGGAUUUUAAAAAAAAGAAAAAAGCAAAAGAAGUUUCCAAAGAAAUGUGUGCUUUGCAUCCUACAAUAGGAAAAUGUAGCCAUUGCCUUCCUUCAGACGAGACAUUUCUAAUUUGUUCCGUCUGUCAGGAGGGGACUAUGAGAGGUUUGGGUGCAAAUUCAUUAUCUCUGGCAACGCAGAACGUAGUGUGGGGACUGAAAAAGACCGUGGCAAUGGAUGAACAAUAGGGCUUCAGUUCAUCAGUAACAAAAGCAGUGGGGAAAUUGGUUGAGUUUCAGAGCACGUCCUCCUCGGCAGAGGGGGCUGGACUAGACCUUGGACAGCCCCCCCAAAAACUUGCCAAGCCUCGCACACACCACUUCACUCUCCACUCCGAGGCUCAGGGAGCAAGUGCCUGGCAUGGGGGGUAAAAGUUGGCUUUUUUUUUACUCCUUGGUCUUUUGCGCCCUUCUCCCUCUCCCCAGAAGGGAAGACCCAUUUAAACUAUUUUAGACGCAAUCAACCAAGAAUCACCAUGUGGAAUUGAGCGGCAGUUUUAAAUGUGUUGAGCAGGGGAGAGGAAUGAUGAGAAAAACAUUUUUUUUUUUUUUUUUGGAGACGCCGAAAGAAGCCUGUUUGUGUGCUGCGGCCGUGCUGUGACUUUGGAUCUUGUCUUUCAGCCGGCGCCUCGGUUCCUGCCCAGCUGGAUUUGGGGGGCAGCAUUGCCUGGCGCAGGGAGAUCAAAUGAGACUGCAAAGAAGCAUAAAAUGAAUAGACAAUCCAACCAACCAAAGACCGGGGGCAGCAGCAGGCCAGCAAGACGGCAUCUUCUCCUUCCCAGCCUAGAAGCCCUGUGAAAUCGAGGAUCUUCCCCCUAAAACACAUACACACAAGAUAUGUGCAAUCAAGCUGCCACCGCUUGGUAAAAAGCCAUGGUGCCUAACCAAAAAGGAUCAGGAACAGAUCCUUGAAUCAGCUGUCACUUCUAUAGAAUGGGAUUUUUUUUUCCUUCCUCCUUAACCUGCGCUGGAAAUUGCCGUUGGCUUUAUACAUCUCUAUAGAGAGAGGCUAAAGAGUCUUGCGUGAGAAAGAAGCAAUUUACAAUGCAAAUAGAGGCCUGUGAAGGGACGGAUGCUGCUGCUCACUCGUAACAGCUUGCUGCACCUUAAUAGCUGGUUUUAUUUUCUGAUAUUAAUAGAUGAAUUGUUGGCUAACGCUGCCGGAGAUUACUUGCUGAAAGGAAAAAGAAAAGUUCGGAAUAAACUCUGAAGGCAACAGAUCUCGUUUGGAUGUUUUAGCCGCGCACACACACAAACAGAAACCAGGUCAUAUUUACAUAAAAGGAGGAAUCUUAAGCGCGGCAAGUAUCCUGGACGACCACUCUUCGGUACUGCCAGAAAGGAUCAGGACCUGGAGUCUGGCAAGAGGAAGACAGAGGCCUGUGUGGGAAGCGAGUUGUUAUCUUUGGUUAUCUAGCUGUAUGAGUGUAUUGGUCUUCAUAAAGCUAGAUAACCGAAAGUAAAAACUCCUUCAAGAUCGCCGGGGAGCGUGUGAGAAUGAAAGACUACAGCCGAGAGACAGUAAAAACCAGAAAGGUCAGGAAUACUUAUUGAAUCUAACUUUGUUUUUGUUUUGUUUUUUUCCUUAUGAUUAAAGGUGGGAUGAGAGAAAAUUAAAUGACACACACAUGCUAAAAUAUCAAGGUUCCAGAUAUGUCUUGAGAGGGGUUGUUGCAGCUGCAAAGGAGAAGUGUAUAGUGAUAAUGAGUAAAGAUGCAUGUGCAGUUUGUUCUAUUUUAAGGCAAAAGUUAUAUCAGGGAUUUUUUUCUUAGAAAGGUGUUGCAGAGAUGUCUGGUACCUAGUUUAAAAAUGAUUCCAUAAUAUGUAGACUUGGGCAGUUCCUUUGGGAGGCACCUCCCUCUCAAAAUUUGAAGAUUGUGCUUGGAAAUUACUUUACAUGUAUUUGGGCUGUAUGUCAAUUUGUACGAAAUUAGACUUUCAGAAAAGUUUAUACUGGAAGGUUAAUAAUUUGUAUCUACUGAGGACUUAGAGCUAGCAGGCAAAAUGAAAAAAAAAAAAAAAAAAGCAAGGGCUGAUUUUUAUUCUUCUAUUCAAAAUACAAGGACAGAUGCUUCUCUGUUCCAAGAGGGUUUCCUUGAGGAAGCUACUGAAGCAGAAAGACAUGAUGGAGACGAGAUCGCCUCCCCUCUUGUCAAAGUGUUAAAAAAAUGUUCUGUCUUACUCUGCGCCUAGCAUUGGAAAUGAAAGUGACAUUUACGCCACAACCCACGUGUGCGCCUCCUCUCUUUUUGUUUAAGGAUGAUCAGGUCUAUCCAGGAAACAGCUCUGGCAUCCCAAACUGAAAUAAUUAGGACGUAUAUAGACCUGACAAAAAUGGAAAGGGGGUGGGGAAUCUGAGGGUCUGUCUUGCCUAAUUGAUUCCGCUAAACGGAAUGCAGGAGAUGUGAACGGCAGGACGCUCCGAUUCCCACGCUCGGGGGCAAGUGAUAAAGCGGGGCCGGGCAGCCUAUGACAGACAGCCCUGUUGGGGGGUGGGGGUAUGAAAAAAACAUCAAGUGCACACACCAUACUCAUCUCCAUCGCUUAAGAAAGUAAAGGCAUUUCCCACCCACAGCCAUCUGCAGCUUCCCAAAUGGCAGCACCAACUGGUCUGUAGCUGCUACAUAGUCUGCUUCUGUUAAUUUUUUAACCACUGUUUAAUCUGGCCAUAAUUAAGUUUGGCUUUCUUCGUUGUUUGAGAUUUUCAGAAUUCAAGGCAAGCUAGUAGAAAGCAAUUCCAAGAAAGUCCCAUGACUGCCUGCCCCUAAUGUCAAAAUCUCAGUCCAUGAGAUUAUGGCCUUGUGACCACAUUUUUGCUUUUGUUUUGGGUGGGCAAAUGUGUAUAGAGAUAAAAUACAUAUCUCUAUAUAACAGUCGUUAUUAUAAUUUCAUGAGGCUUUUUACCUCUUAACAUGAUACAUCUAGGAACUUGGUCUAAUUGUGCUAGUAGAUAUACACUAGAAGUAAAACUAUAAAGUCAUUAGCCUGUAGAAAGUUGAUUAUGAUAACAAUAUGAUAAAAAGUUUGUUUUGGAAUAGUCUCAGCUAGAUGGGUCUAAAUAGCCAUUUUAAUGUAAUCUAAAAAUAACACUAUGCCUAGCAGAAACUUUGGCGCUUUGGAGGUCCCCAUUGUCGCCUUUUCAUAAAAGUCCUUAAGUUUUCCAUAUGUCACCAAGCAAACAUUUGUAUAGGCAUUUACACAGAAAUAUAACCAUUGCAAUUAGAAAAUAUCCAAAAUAGCCUGUUAUCUUCCACGUGGCCUAGAUUAUUGACAAUCCCAAAUAUACAAUUUUUCUUUAAAAGUAGUACAAUUUCCUUUGUAGCUUCAAUUCCUUAUAUGACUUCAGACUGGAGAAGCCUGUUAAACCACUGUUAGUUUCAGUUAGAAAGUCUGAGAGACUUUAUACAUAAAUUCUCAAUUUGGCUGCUGUACACGUGCCAGAGUUUUACUACUGUAGUGACCGUUGAGAAGACCCUUGUUUAUUUACAUUUGAAGCACUGUUUGUGCAAACAACCUUUCAUUGUUAAGUGCCUGUAUUCCUUUCAUUUACUUCAUGUCCAGGGGUGCUAUUUACCUAGAACCAUUGUCUACUACAAUUAACAUUUACAUUACAAAGUGUGUGGUUUUCUUUUUCAAGGAGGUUCAAUUAAGGCAAUAAGAUGUUUGCUGGAGAAACCUAUUGUUUACUGAAAGCACUCAAUGAAGUCAAAUUACUGAAGCUUUUGCCUACAUCUUGGUCUUUUAUGUAAAUAUGUUAAAUAUAACAUCUAAGGAAAAUAAACAAUAUUAUAAUUAUGUGUUUGCCAUUGUCAUAUCAAACUUGCUUUGUAUCAUACUAAUGUUACAUAACUUAUCGAUCAAUAAAAAUACAUUUCAAUGUUA
rnacentral:lncRNA from 1 species